AGCGAACGCUGGCGGCAGGCUUAACACAUGCAAGUCGAGCGCCCCGCCAGGGGAGCGGCAGACGGGAGAGUAACACGUGGGAACAUACCUUUUGGUUCGGAACAACUGAGGGAAACUUCAGCUAAUACCGGAUAAGCCCUUACGGGGAAAGAUUUAUCGCCGAAAGAUUGGCCCGCGUCUGAUUAGCUAGUUGGUGAGGUAACGGCUCACCAAGGCGACGAUCAGUAGCUGGUCUGAGAGGAUGAUCAGCCUCACUGGGACUGAGACACGGCCCAGACUCCUACGGGAGGCAGCAGUGGGGAAUAUUGGACAAUGGGGGCAACCCUGAUGCAGCCAUGCCGCGUGAGUGAUGAAGGCCUUAGGGUUGUAAAGCUCUUUUGCCCGGGAAGAUAAUGACGGUACCGGGAGAAUAAGCCCCGGCUAACUUCGUG
rnacentral:rRNA from 1 species